CGGCCACACUGGGACUGAGACACGGCCCAGACUCCGACGGGAGGCAGCAGUGGGGAAUAUUGCACAAUGGGGGAAACCCUGAUGCAGCGACGCAGCGUGCGGGAUGACGGCCUUCGGGUUGUAAACCGCUUUCAGCAGGGAAGAAGCGCAAGUGACGGUACCUGCAGAAGAAGUACCGGCUAACUACGUGCCAGCAGCCGCGGUAAUACGUAGGGUACGAGCGUUGUCCGGAAUUAUUGGGCGUAAAGAGCUCGUAGGUGGUUGGUCACGUCUGCUGUGGAAACGCAACGCUUAACGUUGCGCGUGCAGUGGGUACGGGCUGACUAGAGUGCAGUAGGGGAGUCUGGAAUUCCUGGUGUAGCGGUGAAAUGCGCAGAUAUCAGGAGGAACACCGGUGGCGAAGGCGGGACUCUGGGYUGUAACUGACACUGAGGAGCGAAAGCAUGGGGAGCGAACAGGAUUAGAUACCCUGGUAGUCCAUGCCGUAAACGUUGGGCACUAGGUGUGGGGGGCAUUCCACGUUCUCCGCGCCGUAGCUAACGCAUUAAGUGCCCCGCCUGGGGAGUACGG
rnacentral:rRNA from 1 species